AUUGCCUUAGUAACUGCGAGUGAAGCGGCAAAAGCUCAAAUUUGAAAUCUGGCGUCUUUGACGUCCGAGUUGUAAUUUGGAGGGGCAUCUUCGGAGUUGGCGCCGUCCUAAGUUCCUUGGAACAGGACGUCAUAGAGGGUGAGAAUCCCGUGCCUGGAUGGCUGUCCAUCUCCAUGUGAAGUGUCUCCGACGAGUCGAGUUGUUUGGGAAUGCAGCUCAAAAUGGGUGGUAAAUUUCAUCUAAAGCUAAAUAUUGGCGAGAGACCGAUAGCGCACAAGUAGAGUGAUCGAAAGAUGAAAAGCACUUUGAAAAGAGAGUUAAAAAGUACGUGAAAUUGUUGAAAGGGAAGCGCUUGAGACCAGACUCAAUCUUUGGUGAUCAGCUGUGCUUCUGUACAGUGCACUUGCCAUUGAUUGGGCCAGCAUCGGUUCUGACGGCGGGAUAAAAGGCAGAGGAAUGUGGCUCUCUUCGGGGAGUGUUAUAGCCUCAGUCACAAUGCCGCCAGUUGGGACCGAGGACCGCGCUUCGGCUAGGAUGCUGGCGUAAUGGUCUUAAGCGACCCGUCUUGAAACACGGACCAAGGAGUCUAACAUCUAUGCGAGUGUUCGGGUGGAAAACCCUUGCGCGUAAUGAAAGUGAACGGAGGUGGGAACUCGCAAGAGUGCACCAUCGACCGAUCCUGAUGUCUUCGGAAGGAUUUGAGUAAGAGCAUAGCUGUUGGGACCCGAAAGAUGGUGAACUAUGCCUGAAUAGGGUGAAGCCAGAGGAAACUCUGGUGGAGGCUCGCAGCGGUUCUGACGUGCAA
rnacentral:rRNA from 1 species